UACAGAGGCCUCAAGCGUUGUUCGGAUUCAUUGGGCGUAAAGCGCGCGUAGGCGGUUCGGUAAGUCGGGUGUGAAAACACGAGGCUCAACCUCGUGCGUGCAUCCGAUACUGCCGGACUAGAGGUAGGUAGGGGAGAUCGGAAUUCCUGGUGUAGCGGUGAAAUGCGCAGAUAUCAGGAGGAACACCGGUGGCGAAGGCGGAUCUCUGGGCCUUACCUGACGCUCAGGCGCGAAAGCUAGGGGAGCGAACAGG
rnacentral:rRNA from 1 species